UAGGGAAUCUUCCGCAAUGGGCGCAAGCCUGAUCCAGCCAUGCCGCGUGCAGGAUGAAGCAUCUAUGGUGUGUAAACUGCUUUUAUACGGGAAGAAACCCUGGCUCGUGAGCCAGAUUGACGGUACCGUAGGAAUAAGGAUCGGCUAACUUCCGUGC
rnacentral:rRNA from 1 species